GCUUCGACAAUGAACGCAGGGUGCAACAUACUUCGCAAUGGCUGAAGAUGGGCCAGGCCAGGAGCAGCGACUUCAUAUUCUGUUGUAAGUCUUGUGGUAGCCUAGAUGACCAGUCGUCGCAUGAUCGUGAAAGGCUUCAAGCACCUCACAUUGCAGAGAACAUGGAAGCCAUCAUCUGGUGCUGUGUACAGCAAGCACAUGCUUCGGGCAAGGAGGGAGCCAGCACCAUAUCUACAUCAGCAAGAACCUCGGUGCUCAAAAUAAACAUUUUCUGUGCAAAUAA